UCCGGUUUGGCAGCGAGGGUUGCGCUCGUUGCGGGACUUAACCCAACACCUCACGGCACGAGCUGACGACAGCCAUGCAGCAUCUGUGCACGCUCCCUUGCGGGUCCUUCCCCUUUCGGGGUCGUACCACGUGCAUGUCAAGCCCAGGUAAGGUUCUUCGCGUUGCGUCGAAUUAAACCACAUGCUCCGCUGCUUGUGCGGGUCCCCGUCAAUUCCUUUGAGUUUUAGCCUUGCGGCCGUACUCCCCAGGCGGGGCACUUAAUGCGUUAGCUUCGGCACAGGAGGAGUCGACACCUCCCACACCUAGUGCCCAUCGUUUACAGCGUGGACUAC
rnacentral:misc_RNA from 1 species